rnacentral:rRNA from 1 species
GUGCAGCAGUCGCGAAAACUCCGCAAUACGCGAAAGCGUGACGGGGCUACCCCGAGUGUCGUCCGCUGAGGACGACUUUUCCACGCUGUAAGGAGGCGUGGGAAUAAGGAGAGGGCAAGUCUGGUGUCAGCCGCCGCGGUAAUACCAGCUCUCCGAGUGGUAGGGACGAUUAUUGGGCUUAAAGCGUCCGUAGCCGGCUCAGCAAGUCUCCCGUUAAAUCCAACGAUUCAAUCGUUGGACUGCGGGAGAUACUGUUGAGCUAGGAGGCGGGAGAGGCCGACGGUAUUCCCGGAGUAGGGGUGAAAUCCUAUAAUCCUAGGGGGACCACCAGUGGCGAAGGCGUUCUGCGAGAACGGGCUCGACGGUGAGGGACGAAAGCCAGGGGCGCAAACGGGAUUAGAUACCCCGGUAGUCC